rnacentral:rRNA from 1 species
UCCGUAGGUGAACCUGCGGAGGGAUCAUUACAAGUGACCCCGGUUUACCACCGGGAUGUUCAUAACCCUUUGUUGUCCGACUCUGUUGCCUCCGGGGCGACCCUGCCUUCGGGCGGGGGCUCCGGGUGGACACUUCAAACUCUUGCGUAACUUUGCAGUCUGAGUAAAUUUAAUUAAUAAAUUAAAACUUUCAACAACGGAUCUCUUGGUUCUGGCAUCGAUGAAGAACGCAGCGAAAUGCGAUAAGUAAUGUGAAUUGCAGAAUUCAGUGAAUCAUCGAAUCCUUGAACGCACAUUGCGCCCUUUGGUAUUCCGAAGGGCAUGCCUGUUCGAGCGUCAUUUCACCACUCAAGCCUAGCUUGGUAUUGGGCGCCGCGGUUUUCCGCGCGCCUCAAAGUUUCCGGCUGAGCUGUCCGUCUCUAAGCGUUGUGAUACAUAUUCGCUUCGGAGUGCGGGCGGCCGCGGCCGUUAAAUCUUUCACAAGGUUGACCUCGGAUCAGGUAGGGAUACCCGCUGAACUUAAGCAUAUCAAUAAGCGGAGGA